rnacentral:rRNA from 1 species
CCUACGGGAGGCAGCAGUGAGGACUAUUGGUCAAUGGACGAGAGUCUGAACCAGCCAAGUAGCGUGAAGGAUGACUGCCCUAUGGGUUGUAAACUUCUUUUAUAUGGGAAUAAAAUGUUCCAAGUGUGGGAUUUUGUAUGUACCAUAUGAAUAAGGAUCGGCUAACUCCGUGCCAGCAGCCGCGGUAAUACGGAGGAUCCGAGCGUUAUCCGGAUUUAUUGGGUUUAAAGGGAGCGUAGGUGGAUUGUUAAGUCAGUUGUGAAAGUUUGCGGCUCAACCGUAAAAUUGCAGUUGAAACUGGCAGUCUUGAGUACAGUAGAGGUGGGCGGAAUUCGUGGUGUAGCGGUGAAAUGCUUAGAUAUCACGAAGAACUCCGAUUGCGAAGGCAGUUCACUGGACUGCAACUGACACUGAGGCUCGAAAGUGUGGGUAUCAAACAGGAUUAGAUACCCCUGUAGUC